AGAGUUUGAUCCUGGCUCAGGACGAACGCUGGCGGCGUGCCUAAUGCAUGCAAGUCGCACGCAGAGUGCUUGCACUCUGAGUGGCGCACGGCUGAGGAACACGUGGGCAUCUGCCCGACCGUGGGGGAUAACUCGGCGAAAGCCGCGCUAAUCCCGCAUACGCUCGCAAGAGGAAAGCAGCAAUGCGCGGUCGGAGGAGCCUGCGGCCCAUCAGGUAGUUGGCGGGGUAACGGCCCACCAAGCCGGUGACGGGUAGCUGGUCUGUGAGGACAACCAGCCAGACUGGGACUGAGACACGGCCCAGACUCCUACGGGAGGCAGCAGCAAGGAAUUUUCGGCAAUGGGGGCAACCCUGACCGAGCAACGCCGCGUGGAGGAUGACGGCCUUCGGGUUGUAAACUCCUUUUGCGGGGGACGACAUCGACUGUACCCCGCGAAUAAGGCUCGGCUAACUCUGUGCCAGCCGCCGCGGUAAUUC
rnacentral:rRNA from 1 species